rnacentral:rRNA from 1 species
UACGUAGGGGGCAAGCGUUGUCCGGAAUCAUUGGGCGUAAAGAGCGCGUAGGCGGCCCUGUAAGUCCGCUGUGAAAGUCAAGGGCUCAACCCUUGGAUGCCGGUGGAUACUGCAGGGCUAGAGUCCGGAAGAGGCGAGUGGAAUUCCUGGUGUAGCGGUGAAAUGCGCAGAUAUCAGGAGGAACACCGGUGGCGAAGGCAGCUCGCUGGGACGGUACUGACGCUGAGGCGCGAAAGCGUGGGGAGCAAACAGG